rnacentral:rRNA from 1 species
UGGGGAAUUUUCCGCAAUGGGCGAAAGCCUGACGGAGCAAUACCGCGUGCGGGAGGAAGCUUUUUGGAGUGUAAACCGCUUUUCUCUGGGAAGAUAAUGACGGUACCAGAGGAAUCAGCAUCGGCUAACUUCGUGCCAGCAGCCGCGGUAAUACGAGGGAUGCAAGCGUUAUCCGGAAUUAUUGGGCGUAAAGCGUUCGUAGGUGGCUAGAUAAGUCUGUCGUCAAAGCAUGGAGCUUAACUCCAUUAAGGCGAUGGAAACUGUUUGGCUAGAGUGUGGUAGGGGUAACAGGAAUUCCCAGUGUAGCGGUGAAAUGCGUAGAUAUUGGGAAGAACACCAGCGGCGAAAGCGUGUUACUGGGCCACAACUGACACUGAGGGACGAAAGCUAGGGGAGCGAA